UACACUUGCCAUUGCAUCCGCCUGGCUUCAUAUAACCUUUCAGUUUGAUUGGAGCGUGGAGAGGCAACAUGGCAGCCCUUUUCUCUUCCCUCCUGUUUCAGCUGUUUUUCAGUUCCUCAGAGGAGCUUUCCCAGCUGCGGGCCCUGUGUCUCUCUGUCAGUGGCUGUGUUUGAUCCCCGUCGCACACUCAGCAAGAUUCUGGUCAGAAUGGAGACUUUCUUUCCACACGGCCUAUCCAUGUUCAACGUGGGCUGAUGGACAGCGCAAAUAGUUGACCUUCCUCGAUUCUGCCUCCAAUCCAUUUGAUGUUGCUUGUGUGCUGGAGGAAGGAUGCAGGGAGUUCCUCCACAAAUGCUUCCCCUUCCUGAAAAUUCGAUCUUGGGGAGCCCCUUUCCGGCUUCGGUACUAAUUGUUGCCAAAUUCUUAUCCUGCAGUGAACAACAAGUUUGGUUUAAGGUGCAAGUACUGCAAAACAAACAUCCACCAUCACUGCCAGUCCUACGUGGAGUUUCAGCGGUGCUUUGGCAAGAUCCCCCCUGGGUUUCGCAGAGCAUACAGCUCUCCUCUGUACAGCAACCAGCAGUUCACCUGUAUAAAAGAGCUCCUUCCUUUCUGUAAGUGGACCACACCAGACCGGGCUCACAUUUCGCAUGGAGGCCUGUGAGAGGGCUUUCGGGCGAGUGAUCAACUAGCGUUUUUGAAAUGGUGUUUGCUCUCUAAAGGACGCAGUCUGGCAGUGGGCAAAGAGGCGCUGUGAGAAAAGGGAACGGUGGGGCUGAAUUGUGGGGUGAAAUGCAAAGAGCCCUCAGUGCCAGAGCCCUGCCUCUGGCAGAGCGCCAACAGGUUUUGCUUCGCCUCAGCAUGUACCCAGAGCAUGCUGGGAAAACUUGCGUCACUGUCGCCAAUCCUCAGGGGGGCGUUUCUCAAAGCCUCCAGAGACACGCGGUGAAGCAGUCCUCCCCACCAAAGUGCAGGAUACUGUACCACCCUCUUGCUUUCCCUUCCCGCUCUUUCCCCUCCUCCAAUCCCCCGCUCCAUAUAAAUGGGCACCUCUGAGUUGCUCGGCCAAUGUGCUCUCCUGCCUGAUCUGAAUUGGGACCCUUUUGGGUAAAAACCGGAAAUGCUUGACAAUGCCCACCUCCGUCCAGGUCAGCAAAUCAAGCCACUAGAACCGUGCUCACCUGGAGUCUCCCUCAAGAUGCGAUAUCCACACGUGAGCAGAGUCAAU